rnacentral:rRNA from 1 species
CGGAAGCAGCAGUGGGGAAUAUUGGUCAAUGGAGGCAACUCUGAACCAGCCAUGCCGCGUGAAGGAUGAAGGUCCUCUGGAUUGUAAACUUCUCUUAUGUGGGAAGAAACCGAUACAUUCUUGUGUCGUUGACGGUACCAUAGGAAUAAGCACCGGCUAACUCCGUGCCAGCAGCCGCGGUAAUACGGAGGGUGCAAGCGUUAUCCGGAUUCACUGGGUUUAAAGGGUGCGUAGGUGGGAAUGUAAGUCAGUGGUGAAAUCUCCGUGCUUAACACGGAAACUGCCAUUGAUACUAUGUUUCUUGAAUUUUCUGGAGGUUAGCGGAAUAUGUCAUGUAGCGGUGAAAUGCUUAGAUAUGACAUAGAACACCAAUUGCGAAGGCAGCUAACUACAGGGAUAUUGACACUGAGGCACGAAAGCGUGGGGAUCAAACAGGAUUAGAUACCCGAGUAGUCCG